rnacentral:rRNA from 1 species
AGAGUUUGAUCAUGGCUCAGGACGAACGCUGGCGGCGUGCCUAAUACAUGCAAGUUGAACGCUUCUUUCUUAUCGAACUUCGGUUCACCAAGAAAGAGGAGUAGCGAACGGGUGAGUAACACGUGGGUAACCUGCCCAUCAGCGGGGGAUAACACUUGGAAACAGGUGCUAAUACCGCAUAAUGCUUUUUCUCACAUGAGAGAGAGCUGAAAGGCGCUUUUGCGUCACUGAUGGAUGGACCCGCGGUGCAUUAGCUAGUUGGUAGGGUAACGGCCUACCAAGGCAACGAUGCAUAGCCGACCUGAGAGGGUGAUCGGCCACACUGGGACUGAGACACGGCCCAGACUCCUACGGGAGGCAGCA